rnacentral:rRNA from 1 species
GUCCUCUUGAAUAAUUUAUUUGAGGUCUGGUCUGCUCACUGAGAAUUUUAAAGAGCCGCGGUAUUUUGACUGUGCGAAGGUAGCAUAAUCAUUAGUCUCUUAAUUAGGGGCUGGUAUGAAUGGCUUGACGAGAAAUCAACUGUCUCUUGAUAAAAUCUAGAAUUUAACUUUUAAGUUAAAAGGCUUAAAUUUUUAUUUAGGACGAGAAGACCCUAUAGAGCUUGACAUCUUUAUUUUAUAUAUUUUUUAGUUAAUUUUUUUAUAUAGAGUUUAUAUGUUUAGUUGGGGUGACUUGAAAAAUAAAUAAACUUUUCAUUAUAAAAUCAUUUAUUUAUGUAUUAAAAUUGAUCCACAAUUUGUGAUUAUGAGAUUAAGUUACCUUAGGGAUAACAGCGUAAUUGUUUUUGAGAGCUCAUAUCGACAAAGCAGAUUGCGACCUCGAUGUUGGAUUAAGAAAAAUAUUGGGUGCAGGAAUUCAAUAAUUAGGUCUGUUCGACCUUUAAAUUCUU